rnacentral:misc_RNA from 1 species
AACCUUCAUGCAAUCAGACC